AUUGAACGCUGGCGGCAGGCCUAACACAUGCAAGUCGAACGAGUGGCGGACGGGUGAGUAAUGUCUGGGAAACUGCCUGAUGGAGGGGGAUAACUACUGGAAACGGUAGCUAAUACCGCAUACCAUCGGAUGUGCCCAGAUGGGAUUAGCUAGUAGGUGGGGUAAAGGCUCACCUAGGCGACGAUCCCUAGCUGGUCUGAGAGGAUGACCAUACACACUGGAACUGAGACAAGGUCCAGACUCCUACGUGAGGCAGCAGUGGGGAAUAUGUAACAGUGGGCGCAAGCCUGAUGCAGCCAUGGCGCGGGUAUGCAGAAAGCCUUCGGGUUGUAAAGUACUUUCAGAGGAGAGGCGUUACCCGCAGAAGAAGCACCGGCUAACUCCGUGCCAGCAGCCGCGGUAAUAC
rnacentral:rRNA from 1 species